AUUGAACGCUGGCGGCAGGCCUAACACAUGCCAGUCGAACGGUAACAGGAAGAAGCUUGCUUCUUUGCCGACGAGUGGCGGACGGGUGAGUAAUGUCUGGGAAACUGCCUGAUGGAGGGGGAUAACUACUGGAAACGGUAGCUAAUACCGCAUAACGUCGCAAGACCAAAGAGGGGGACCUUCGGGCCUCUUGCCAUCGGAUGUGCCCAGAUGGGAUUAGCUAGUAGGUGGGGUAACGGCUCACCUAGGCGACGAUCCCUAGCUGGUCUGAGAGGAUGACCAGCCACACUGGAACUGAGACACGGUCCAGACUCCUACGGGAGGCAGCAGUGGGGAAUAUUGCACAAUGGGCGCAAGCCUGAUGCAGCCAUGCCGCGUGUAUGAAGAAGGCCUUCGGGUUGUAAAGUACUUUCAGCGGGGAGGAAGGGAGUAAAGUUAAUACCUUUGCUCAUUGACGUUACCCGCAGAAGAAGCACCGGCUAACUCCGUG
rnacentral:rRNA from 1 species